CCGAGACUGGGAUCAAACACACCUAAACACGAGAUCACAUUGCUACUUAUUAAUCGAAAAUACAUUCAAGCUCCCAACGUCUCAGCAGUAUUGAUUCUUGACAGCUAGUAAUUUUGAACCUGGAUGGCAAGGGAACGGCACUGUCCAAUUCCUGCAGAAUCUACAAAGAGUCAAAGCAUACCUGUUUGGCUGGAAGCAGACGGCGUCAAAGCCUGUGAUCUCGCAAAAGUCUUUCUCAAACUCAUCAUACAGUUGUAAGUAUCCCUUUGCUUGUUGAAUUGGAGCAUAAGGAUGAAUGUCCGCAAAGCGAGGCCAAGUAAUCGGCAUCAUCUCCGUUGUACUGUUCAGCUUCAUUGUACAAGAUCCCUGCAUCAAACAACACCAUGUUUCGGAAAAUCUGAGGCAUUUCAGGUAUGGUGCAUUGAAUCAGCCUCCAUGGGGAAGAUCUUUUAACCUUAAGACGUUGCUUUUUUAAGGGUGCCAAGUCAAGACGCUUACUUUAAUUUCCUACUUACUAGAGGUAUCAUUGAGUGGACGAGGGAGAUGUCUUUGUUUUCCAGCAGCUUCAUGUAACGCACAACGUUAGUUUCUGCAUGAUGUGUGUUGAAGACUGGAUGGGUCAAGAAGCUGCUAAGCCUUUUAAAGGGGCUAUUGAGUAGGCUUUUAUGGGGAACUUCAGCUAAAUGUGUACCGACUUCAGCCU